rnacentral:rRNA from 1 species
CAACCUGCCGAUGACUCGGGGAUAGCCUUUCGAAAGAAAGAUUAAUACCCGAUGGCAUAGUUCUUCCGCAUGGUAGAACUAUUAAAGAAUUUCGGUCAUCGAUGGGGAUGCGUUCCAUUGGGUUGUUGGCGGGGUAACGGCCCACCAAGCCUUCGAUGGAUAGGGGUUCUGAGAGGAAGGUCCCCCACAUUGGAACUGAGACACGGUCCAAACUCCUACGGGAGGCAGCAGUGAGGAAUAUUGGUCAAUGGACGAGAGUCUGAACCAGCCAAGUAGCGUGAAGGAUGACUGCCCUAUGGGUUGUAAACUUCUUUUAUAAAGGAGUAAAGUCGGGUAUGUAUACCCGUUUGCAUGUACUUUAUGAAUAAGGAUCGGCUAACUCCGUGCCAGCAGCCGCGGUAAUACGGAGGAUCCGAGCGUUAUCCGGAUUUAUUGGGUUUAAAGGGAGCGUAGAUGGAUGUUUAAGUCAGUUGUGAAAGUUUGCGGCUCAACCGUAAAAUUGCAGUUGAUACUGGAUAUCUUGAGUGCAGUUGAGGCAGGCGGAAUUCGUGGUGUAGCGGUGAAAUGCUUAGAUAUCACGAAGAACUCCGAUUG